rnacentral:tRNA from 1 species
GGAUAGUGAAGCUCAAAUGGUUUGGGCACCGGAUUCGAAACCCGGGGGCGCUCUAGCAGGCGCAGGCGUUCGACUCGUCCUCUAUCCG